AUUGAACGCUGGCGGCAUGCUUUACACAUGCAAGUCGAACGGCAGCGCGGGCUUCGGCCUGGCGGCGAGUGGCGAACGGGUGAGUAAUACAUCUGAACGUGCCCAGUCGUGGGGGAAAGCUUGGCGAAAGCCGGAUUAAUACCGCAUGCGACCUGAGGGUGAAAGCGGGGGAUCUUCGGACCUCUCGCCUUUGUGGCGGCGGAUGGCAGAUUAGCUAGUUGGUGGGGUAAAGGCCUACCAAGGCGACGAUCUGUAGCUGGUCUGAGAGGAAGACCCGCCACAUGGGGUGUGAGACAGGGCCCACACUCCGGCGGGGAGCAGCAGUGGGGAAUCUUGGACAAUGGGCGAAAGCCUGAUCCAGCGAUACGGGGUAUGUGAUGACGGCGUUAGGGUUGUAGAGCACUUUAGGUGGGAACAAAGAGGACUUCUCUCAUACCACGGUUUGAUGACGGUACCCGCAGAAGAAGCACCGGCUAACUACGUG
rnacentral:rRNA from 1 species